rnacentral:lncRNA from 1 species
UUUAGUACACGAACACAAAUCUGUCGGUUAAAAUGGCGAGGGUUGCUAAGGAUAUCUUGAUUUCGGGAACUUUCUGCAGCUUCCAUUUCAUGGAGCACUUCUUCGGUAUACUCUGGCUCUAGUGCGUACCCAAAUUGACCAUACUCGUCAAAAGCUACCUCUCUUGACGGACUGGAACCACUGUUAGUACUAUCAUUCUCCGAACAAGACAUUUUUAGUUAUGAUUUUAUUUUUUGGACCAUAUAUACACUGUCCUAUAGAAACAAGCACGCACA